CACCCUUCAAACCUCUUUGGUUUGAUGUUGGGCGAGGCCCGUGAAGGGCCCGCCUUAAAGUCAGUGACGGUGAACCAUCCACCUCGGGCGUACAAGUAUCGCGAUGUUGGCGGUGGUGAAUCGGUCGAUUUUUAUAUUAUUUUCUAAA
rnacentral:misc_RNA from 1 species